UGAUCAUAAGCUGUCCCGUCCGGCAGGACACAUCAACGUGGGCAGCGAACCUAGAUGGGGAGGAAUGAAGGGACAAGAGACACAGAAGGAUGACAGCAAGACAAAAGUUCUGAUCAAGCUGCAAACUUUUAUUGUUCACACAGGGGUAUUUAUAUGGUGGGGAUGGGGAAGCUCUCUUAUCGGCAGUUGCUGGAUGUCUGCACAAGGUGAGAUAACCGCAGGAUGUUUCAGGAAGAUAGGUUUCAGGAAGAUAGGUGGCCGCAGGAUGUCUCAGGUGAGAUAAGUAGCUGCAGGAUGCCUCCCAGGCAGGAUGUCUCCCAGGGGGCUGUCAGGCUAAUCUUUGAAGGAGAAUUUCCUUCUAGUCCCUGACAGUUUAUUUUAUGUGCUGUUAGGGUCUUCAACUGUAUAUUGUUUCUUCUGUGAUUUCUAAAAACAAACAGAAACAAGACUAAACAAACAAACCAACCCUAAGGCUAAAGUGGCUAUAAACUAAAAAUCCAAAUUUUAUCAUCAGGGUUGCUGACUCAUUCUUAUCAGUUUGUCCCCAAGUCAUAUAACUAAAAGUUAGGACUUAGAAUCAGGAAAAAUCAAGGCUCUGAAAGCUGGAAUAAGGACAGGAAGGGGGGAUUCAGAAAACUCCAAGGAGUCUCUGAACUCAACGCCAUGAGACCCCCUGCUUGCCAAUGAAGCUUUUCUUUCCUUCUCAUUUUCGUGAGGAUGUUUUCCUCCUGACAUAAAAUGUAUGCUGUUUUUUCUAAUACCAGCCACUUUCUGAUUCUCCAAUUAACUGGAUGUUCAGUUAAAUUCUGAUACUAUCUACCUGGAGUUAGUAUCAGAUCCUACAAUUAAAGGUUCAAUCCCACAAGACUGCCUCUGUCACCGGAGGAGUUCCAAGUGAAAAACCAGCCUCUACCUCAGAGCAAAGCCUGUCCAAGGAAGGGGGCGUGACCCUUGUCCUUGGAAAGACCCACAGAGCACUCCUAGGCACAUACCCACCCUGCUGAGUUGUUUAUCUACAAAUAACAGGAGAGAUCUGCUGGGCCAGGUGUCCCUGACUCAGUCAGGCUAGGUGAGGACCCAUAGCAACCCCCUAGCAGCCACCAAUCAGCAUGAGACAGGGAAAUACCUGGGAUGCCAGAUGACCCCCCAGUAGUUUAUGGUGGUUGAUAACAUGUUGGGAAACCAUGUAGUUCAGCACGAAUUCCCCUCGUGGCUUAAAUCAAUCAGUUCAAAUGAAUCCCCCUUUUGUACUAACCAAUCACCCCUACCCAACUUGUUCCCGCCAGUGAAUGUGCUAAUCAUGUUUUAGAGUUGUUUUAUGAUUUUCCUGCGGUUAGAUGAUUUGCUAAGAGAUGCUAUGAUGUAUGUGAAGUCCCUGCCUUCCCCAAAGAGUGUAUAAAACUGCUGCAAACCCUGGGCUGGGGCCUCUCAGCGCUACCAGUUGCUGUGUGCACAUGGAGGACCCAGCUAGCUCG
rnacentral:lncRNA from 1 species